GAUCCUCUAUGCCGGUGUCUCCCUUUCCUCUCCAGCUCGCUCGGGACUCCGGCGUCUAAGUAGUGGCCCGGCAGGACGUGAAGGAUCAGGGACCCACUGGUGGCCUGGGACGGGACCAGACGGCAGCAGAGCUCAGGGAGCAGCUGAGCAGUUACGCUGGGAGCCUCCUGGCUGCUGGGAGCCCCAGGGUCACGUCCUGCAUCAGUCCUCACUGUCACCUCCGGCCAAGCACCCAGCAAGGAGCUGGUGGCACCACGAUGUCCCAGGCAGAAGCAGGUGAGGAGGCUUUUGAAUACUGCAAUGUUACCAUCAACAGCCAGGAGAAGGUUUUGGAUGUGUACACACAGCUGGAGAAGCUUGGAGAGUAAGUUGGGGUCCCUGUAUCUCUGUCCCCCCCUGAGAUGCCAGGGCUGGG
rnacentral:lncRNA from 1 species